rnacentral:rRNA from 1 species
UACGGAGGGGGCGAGCGUUAUUCGGAAUUAUUGGGCGUAAAGGGCGCGUAGGUGGCCCGGUAAGUCAAAGGUGAAAUCCCUCGGCUCAACUGAGGAAUUGCCUUUGAUACUGGCGAGCUCGAGGGAGGUAGGGGUGGGUGGAACUUCUGGUGGAGCGGUGAAAUGCGUUGAUAUCAGAAGGAACGCCGGUGGCGAAAGCGACCCACUGGAUCUCUACUGACGCUGAGGCGCGAAAGCUAGGGGAGCAAACGGG